CACCUGGAGAAAUGUAAUAAAUUUUUUUAAAAAGAAAUGAAUUAGCCCUGCUGACUUUAGGCUCUCUGCCUCAAAAGCUGUAAACUAAAUAUGUAAGCCCCCAGCUGCAGCACUUUGUUCCAGCAGCAGCAGACACUGCCUCGGGAAGACUGGUCAAAGGAAGACCCUGGUCACAGUGAUCUUGGCAAUACUGUGGACUCCGGAGACGCUCCAAUCACCACUGACUGCAGGAAUCCUGAAGAUCCAGAAUCACAUCUUUUGCCCCUCCAGCCUCUUGCUCGGACAUGGUGAACAGGUGAUAACUCCAGCAUUGCUCCUACAAGUGGAGGUUCCACCAAGAUCCAAGAAAGAAGGGAUGCACUGAUGGACACCCGAAAAUAAGACUGGCCAGCAUUUUAAAGAAAAGAAAAGAUAGUACAGAUGACUCCUAUUCCUCAGGCCCAUGUGGUAUUUUCUGAUGGCAUUUCAUGUGGUUUUGCUGUGGUAGUUUCUGGUAACACAGUGAAGAGAAUGAAAGUCCAAGGCACUUCCGCCCAGAUGGUACAGGACAAUGAGGUUCCUCUUUGCGUUCCUGAGC